rnacentral:rRNA from 1 species
CCUGGUUGAUUCUGCCCGUUGAAGUAUGCUUGUCUCAAAGAUUAAGCCAUGCAUGUCUAACUAUAAGCAACUUUGUACUGUGAAACUGCGAAUGGCUCAUUAAAUCAGUUAUAGUUUAUUUGAUGGUUUUUGCUACAUGGAUAACUGUGGUAAUUCUAGAGCUAAUACAUGCAUUCAAGCCCCGACUUCUGGAAGGGGUGUAUUUAUUAGAUAAAAAUCAACUUUGUUGGUGAAUCAUAAUAACUUCUCGGACCGCAUGGCCUCGUGCUGGCGGUGCUUCAUUCAAAUAUCUGCCCUAUCAACUGUCGAUGGUAGGAUAGAGGCCUACCAUGGUUGCAACGGGUAACGGGGAAUAAGGGUUCGAUUCCGGAGAGGGAGCCUGAGAAACGGCUACCACAUCCAAGGAAGGCAGCAGGCGCGCAAAUUACCCAAUCCCAACACGGGGAGGUAGUGACAAUAUGUAACAAUAUACGGCCUUAUACGUCGUAUAAUUGGAAUGAGUACAAUUUAAAUCCCUUAACGAGGGACAAUUGGAGGGCAAGUCUGGUGCCAGCAGCCGCGGUAAUUCCAGCUCCAAUAGCGUAUAUUAAAGUUGUUGCAGUUAAAAAGCUCGUAGUUGGACCUUGGACCUGGACAGGCGGUCCGCCUCACGGCGAGUACUGUCUUGCUGGGUCUUUCCUCUUGGUGAUCUGUUGUUUCGGCAGCAGGGAACCAGGACCUUUACUUUGAAAAAAUUAGAGUGUU